rnacentral:rRNA from 1 species
AGCGGCGGACGGGUGAGUAAUGCUUAGGAAUCUGCCUAUUAGUGGGGGACAACAUUCCGAAAGGGAUGCUAAUACCGCAUACGUCCUACGGGAGAAAGCAGGGGAUCUUCGGACCUUGCGCUAAUAGAUGAGCCUAAGUCGGAUUAGCUAGUUGGUGGGGUAAAGGCCUACCAAGGCGACGAUUUGUAGCGGGUCUGAGAGGAUGAUCCGCCACACUGGGACUGAGACACGGCCCAGACUCCUACGGGAGGCAGCAGUGGGGAAUAUUGGACAAUGGGGGGAACCCUGAUCCAGCCAUGCCGCGUGUGUGAAGAAGGCCUUAUGGUUGUAAAGCACUUUAAGCGAGGAGGAGGCUACUGAGACUAAUACUCUUGGAUAGUGGACGUUACUCGCAGAAUAAGCACCGGCUAACUCUGUGCCAGCAGCCGCGGUAAUACAGAGGGUGCGAGCGUUAAUCGGAUUUACUGGGCGUAAAGCGUGCGUAGGCGGCUUUUUAAGUCAGAUGUGAAAUCCCCGAGCUUAACUUGGGAAUUGCAUUCGAUACUGGGAAGCUAGAGUAUGGGAGAGGAUGGUAGAAUUCCAGGUGUAGCGGUGAAAUGCGUAGAGAUCUGGGGGAAUACCGAUGGCGAAGGCAGCCAUCUGGCCUAAUACUGACGCUGAGGUACGAAAGCAUGGGGAGCAAACAGGAUUAGAUACCCUGGUAGUCCAUGCCGUAAACGAUGUCUACUAGC